GUGGUUGUUUCAGCAGCACAUAUAACUAAGAAAUGGAACAAUAAAGCAAAGAUUAGUGUGGCCCCUGAACAAGGAUGACAUUCUAGGCACAUAAAUAUCAAUAACUAAC